rnacentral:rRNA from 1 species
UACGAAGGGGGCUAGCGUUGUCCGGAAUUACUGGGCGUAAAGCGCACGUAGGCGGAUAUUUAAGUCAGGGGUGAAAUCCCGGGGCUCAACCCCGGAACUGCCUUUGAUACUGGGUAUCUAGAGUCCAGAAGAGGUGAGUGGAAUUCCGAGUGUAGAGGUGAAAUUCGUAGAUAUUGGGAAGAACACCGGUGGCGAAGGCGGCUCACUGGCUCAUUUCUGACGCUCAGGCGCGACAGCGUGGGGAUCAAACAGG